AAACUCGAUAUUCUAGUGUAGGAUCUCAAGUUGCAAGCUUGAGGGGGCUCAAGACCCUUGAGCUCGGGUUUU
rnacentral:tRNA from 1 species